rnacentral:rRNA from 1 species
GACGUAGGGUGCGAGCGUUGUCCGGAUUUAUUGGGCGUAAAGAGCUCGUAGGCGGCUCGUCGCGUCGACCGUGAAAACCCGCGGCUUAACUGCGGGCUUGCGGUUGAUACGGGUGGGCUAGAGUUCGGUAGGGGAGACUGGAAUUCCUGGUGUAGCGGUGAAAUGCGCAGAUAUCAGGAGGAACACCGGUGGCGAAGGCGGGUCUCUGGGCCGAUACUGACGCUGAGGAGCGAAAGCGUGGGGAGCGAACAGG